CUCCAGUACUGUUCUCUUUUCUUAUUUAAAAUGCCUAAAGCCAUCUUUCCCACGUUUCUUUUUUCUCUGCAAGGGUGCCAAGCCUUUGACAAAGCUAGGCAAGCUAAGCUGCCUGGGAUGGGCUCCUCCUCCUUGGAUCACGCUCUCCUGAAUGUCUUUCUGAAGGUCAGGAGGUCAGCUCAUCCAUUAAUCACAAGGCGACUUGGACUUCAACACUGACCCUGCACACCAGUCUUAGGGAAUCCUAGAAGACCUUCCUGGUGGUCACUUAGAGCUAAGGAAGGAGACCGAGCUCGGGAGGCCGAGGUCCUGUGAGCCCAAACAGCCAUCAGGUGGUGUCAGGAAUGCUGUGGGGUGACAACCAUCACCCAUGAGCAGCACUCAGCACAGCCUGGCUGCUUUCACUUUGGUCUCUCACAGGCUACAGACUGAUACUACGUGUUGAAACUAUGGUGGUAGAUACGAGUUGGGCAUGUAUGGCAAUAAUGCCUAGCUCAGCACCUUCGAGUUUGACUCUCUCGCUUAGCGUUCCCAAGGAAAGCACUCAUUUUGGUUUCCCCUUUCCAUUGUCUCCCCCUCCCAUUAAGAAGUUAGGUGUAGAGAUCAAAGGAGACUAAGUAAAUGCUGUCUUUCGGGCUCAUGGCAGAGGUUUGCUCUCUGGUUCUUUUUUUUUUUUUUUUUUUUUCAGAAGUUUCCUUUCCCUCAAAGCUUAGAGAAACUUCUGGAACAUUUUAUUGAUUUCUUCGCAGCUCACCACUGGAACUCCUCAUAAUUCCUGGUCUCCUAAGGCUCACCAGUUCGUGAAAGAUCAGUCAGACUCAUCCUUUAAAGAAGAAAGAAAAUAGGGCGAGGACAUUCUCUGACAACUUGUGCAAUAAAUAUGAAUCUGGCAAUAAAGAGGAUUUGAAACAUCAGACAGCAGACAAGAGAAAUCCAGAAUCCUACUGUGCUUGGAGGGAUUUCUGCACACCUAAAUGAACAUUUGUUGCAACAGCCAGCCCUCACCUAGGGACAUUAUACAAAUCCCAAGCUAUUAAUAAUACAAACUCAAUCCCUAGCAGUAUUCAUAUGUUGUUUUUUUUUUUCUUUCUUUUUUUUUUUUUUUCUGCAAGAUACUGGUAAGAGAGAAUGUGGAGUCUGUGGACUGACUUUAGAGCAGGAAUUUUGUGUCUGCCAUGCUUACUAGGUAACAGAUGAUAUUUCACUUUGGAGAUGAGAAAUAAAGCUGUGGUGCAAUCAGGCCAUCAUGUAAUAAUAAGUGAUGGUGGCAGAUGAGAUUAUAGGAGUGUCUGCAGCUACAAAUACUCAGCUGGGACUCCUUCAGGUUUCUGCAUGUCAGCUGGUCUUCUACUAUCUCUCUGGGAAUUGAACUAAGCAACAUAUGGGUGCCAUGACUUCUGAAUGCAUGCUAAAGGAAGUAAAAAAUAAAGCUAAUGAAAAAUCCAACCAGUAUAAUUGGUAUUUUAAAACCUCCUCUACUGCACUGGGUAAUGGCUUAACAAGGGCAUGCAUAAAAGACAAAGAAGGAAGGAGUUAGAACAACUAGUCCAUUUGUUACCUGAGAGUUUCCUUCAAUGAUAAUGAGAAGAUUGGGAGAGAUAAUUAGGCACAUUGUGUGUAAAGAACCGCUCCACCAGGUAGUCCCCGUGAUGGAUUGGCAGGGAGUAUCAGGUAGCAAGUGUAAUGAUAAGACAAUAUGAAGAACACAGGAGGGGAGGACCGUUUGGUGGGAGUAGAAAAGGUUGUAAAGGUCUUUAAGGUGCUAGGAUGUGAAACGGUAGAAAGCAAUGCCGAUUUGUAAGGAAUCACAUCACCUUGACAUAUAAUCAGUGAUAAUGAACUGGAAACUUAAUGUAAAGGGCAGAAAAGUUCUUACAAAGGUGGAAGUAAAUAAAUAAAGAGAUCUGGCUGAAGUACUACAGACUUAGCUAAUACCAAGAUAUUUGAUUUGGAUGGAGAACAAACAAAAAUGUAAGGUAGGCCUAAAUCAAGCUGUAUUUACAUUUCUGGAUUUGUCCCGCACAUCUCUUGAAGGAAUUGAUGCACCUACUAGGCAUAGGUCAGUGUUAUUUGGGGGUCACAAACUGAACAGUGGGGAACCCAAGUAAUGGACUAUAAAAGUGGAAUAUUUCACUCUUGUAGAGGUCCUUAAUGCUGGUCGUGGAAGGUCUGGAAUUCACAGAGUACGUGGAUUACAGCACCUACUGCUUCAGAAAGGCCCACCAAAAAGAUGUUACCAGAAAUGAGCAGAAGUAAGUUUUGCUGGUGGUAUGCAACAGCAUAGUUGCACGUACGGUGAUGAAACAUUGCAGUUUGGCCCCACAAGCUGCGUGUUCUGGCAGAGGAAUCUGAAUGGCUUGUUAUAAGUCAAAGCUUUAGACAUCUGCAGACAAGUAUGAACUAGUGUCUAUCCAGCAAGUAGUGGAAGGGAUGUACUGCGUAAAUCACAUCAGUGAUCCAUGCUUAGAGUUCUGAUCAGAGAAGAACAACAAAUCUGUGUUAUAAAGGUGCGUGUGUCAUCUUUUUAUAUAAUACCAUUCAGCCCUCGACAGUCUAAUACUGUUCCGAUAAAAUUAUUUUUGGAUUCAUGCCUCCUGGGAAACUUUAAUAUUUAUCAGAAACUGGCAAGGACUUUUACACCUGCACGGUGCCAGAUGCAAAAGACUUCUAUGUCAGUGACCUAGGACAAUAUUUCAGAACAUGGACCAAUAUACAAGUCAGAUCACAGCAUGCCAAACACAGGAUCCUUGGGAAAAAAAAAAAAAAAGAGGGAGAGAAUGAUAUGUUCAGGUA